rnacentral:misc_RNA from 1 species
GAAAAAGUUUUCUAAAGAUCGGAUUCUCUAAGUACAUAAUUAUAUGAUGAAUUAAAGAUUUUACAUAUCAUACAAGGGGAAAAAAGGCCAACUUAUACCUCAUAAUCCCUUAGGCCAUGAUCUAAAUCAAGCAAAUCUAAUUAUUGACUAAGCAAAUUACAUUACUAUAAUAUUAAAAUUAAUUAAAUUUAAAAAAAUUGACUUAGAAUGGGUGCACAUUCUUCGUUAAUCCACCGUUCACAUUUGUGAAAAAUCCGACGAGCUCCGGCCGAUAAGGAAGAUACGAUCGCCGGCGAUCUUCAGCUUUAGCUUUACUCUUCAUAUAAGCUUCAUGAGCUAAAACCCCUUCACUCUUCUUCACAACCUUCUUCAUCUUCUUCGUUACUUUUCCGAUGACUUUCACUUCGCCGGAGAUCUCCUUCUUUUUCUUCUCCGACGUUGUCGUUUCAUCUGUCCGAACAAUUUUUUCCUCUACUUUCGCUGCCGGAGUUGUUGGGUUUAAGAAUACAAAGGUAUCUCUUCCGUCACUGUUACUCCGGUGAAGAAAGUCUUUAAAUCUCCAUAACUUUGAAAAUCCGGUUGAAUUACUCUUUUUACAAACCUCAGGAUUGUCCGAUGUUGCUUCAAUUGCUUUAUUUUUUGACCAUUCACAAAAGGGUCCGACGAUUUCUUCACUCUCCGUUAACGAAUUUGAACUCGCCGGAAUUGGGUUGUCUUCCGUUUGUAUAAAUAUCUUCUUCACCGGUGGCCUGAUCGGUAAUUGUUCCUUCAAAGCUUCCAAUUCUUCGUCAGAUAAAAGAAGACUCUGAUUAAACAAUGGAAACAGAGGUCGAAUUUGACCAUUGUAAAACACCUCAUCCGCGGCUAUCGGCGGCGCGUCUAUCCCACACGCGAAAGAGAACUCUUCUUCUUCAUCUUCAACCUCCUCUUCCUCGUCAUCCUCAUAAUCUUCUUCGAUUAUCUGUUCUUUCAUACUCAACUGCUCUGUAAAAUCUCCGGUUAAUGUUCCCAUCAUUUCUUCAUUAUACGAAUCUGUUAACGUUUCAGAAUCCAUUUUCUUCAAAAAACCAAAACCCAAAAUUUGAUUUUACUGUAGAAAUCUGAAUAUAAUAUAUUUUUGAAGAAAAUUAGAAAGAGAGAAUUUUGAAAAUUUGAAGGAAUAUUUAUAUUUUUAGUAUAUAGUUUUUAAGAAGGAUGAGGAUUGGGGGUUUG